UUUAACUGAGCGUUCAGUUACUUGACGUAGACCCGAAACCGGGCGACCUACCCAUGAGCAGGAUGAAGCGAAAGUAAAAUUUCGUGGAGGUCCGAACCCACGAGCGUUGAAAAGCUCGGGGAUGACUUGUGGGUAGCGGUGAAAUUCCAAUCGAGCCCGGAGAUAGCUGGUUCUCCCCGAAAUAGCUUUAGGGCUAGCCUCAAGGUGAGAGAUACGGAGGUAGAGCACUGAAUGUCCUAGGGGGUAUUGCACCUACCGAAGACUAUCAAACUCCGAAUGCCGUCAUCUUAUACUUGGGAGUCAGACUGUGGGUGAUAAGAUUCAUAGUCGAAAGGGCAACAGCCCAGAUCGUCAGCUAAGGUCCCUAAAUGUAAGUUAAGUGGUAAAGGAUGUGGGAUUGCACAGACAACCAGGAUGUUGGCUUAGAAGCAGCCACUCAUUCAAAGAGUGCGUAAUAGCUCACUGGUCGAGUGAUCCUGCGCCGAAGAUUUCCGGGGCUAAAACUUACUACCGAAGCUACGGCAUCAGUAAUGAUGGGUAGGGGAGCUUCCCAUACGGGUUGAAGCAUGACCGUAAGGACAUGUGGACAGUAUGGGAGUGAGAAUGUUGGCAUGAGUAGCGAGAUGUGGGUGAGAAUCCCACAGGCCGUAAACCCAAGGUUUCCAGGGGAAGGUUCGUCCGCCCUGGGUUAGUCGGGACCUAAGCUGAGGCCGAAAGGCGUAGGUGAUGGACAACAGGUUGAUAUUCCUGUACUAC
rnacentral:rRNA from 1 species